CGCACUCUGACACUCCAGAUUGAAUUUACCAACACACCCAUAGGCCUACAUUUUUUUUGUGAACAAAUCGAGGGAGCCAGGGACGAAGAUAAGCGUUAUUUAAUAAAGUAGACGUGCCGAAGCCACAAAAAGGAAACGAUCAGCAUACAUCCACCUGGGCAAUGGAUCCGGAAUGGUGAAACACAAGCCCCUGAGGUUAGCAGUGUCUGUAAAGCAUCUUCUGCUACGUGGCGUGGGUGACGUUCAUUAGGAAGGACCUGAGGGCCAUCCAGGAGGAGGUAGGGCUCCUGCUGCGUUCCCCACCCUCAGGAACAGGGUGGAGGCCACAAAGGACAGACCAAAGGUGGACUUCAAUCAAGUUGUAGGAGCAUUUCAAGGAUGAUCA